rnacentral:rRNA from 1 species
CAAUAAUCUACCCUUAGAUUCAGAAUAACCUUGGGAAACUGAGGCUAAAUCUGAAUAGGAGUAAAAAACUGGAAUGUUUUUACUUUUAAACGUAAGGUCUAAGGAUGAGUUGGCGGCCGAUUAGGUUGUUGGUGGUGUAAUGGACCACCAAGCCAAAGAUCGGUAGGGGUCUUGAGAGAGAUAGCCCCGAGAAGGGCACUGAGAUACUGGCCCUAGCCCCACGGGGUGCAGCAGGCGCGAAACCUUUACAAUGCACGCAAGUGUGAUAAGGGAACCCUAAGUGCUUUACUUUUGUAAGGCUUUUACUAAGAGUAAGAAUCUUGGUGAAUAAGUGGUGGGCAAGACUGGUGCCAGCCGCCGCGGUAACACCAGCGCCACGAGUGGGAAUCGUAUUUAUUGGGUCUAAAGCGUCCGUAGCCGGUUUAAUAAGUUUCUUGUGAAAUCAUUAAGCCUAACUUAAUGGCGUGCUUGAAAUACUGUUAAACUAGGGACUUGGAGGAGUCAGAAGUAUUUCUAAGGGAGCGGUAAAAUGCUAUAAUCUUAGAAGGACUACCUGUGGCGAAGGCGUCUGACUAGAAUAGAUUCGACGGUGAGGGACGAAAGCUAGGGGAGCAAUCCGGAUUAGAUACCCGAGUAGUCCUAGCUGUAAACUCUGCGAGCUAGGUGUUGCAUAUUCUUCGGGAAUAUGCAGUGUCGUAAUGAAGAUGUUAAGCUCGCCACCUGGGAAGUAUGGUCGCAAGACUGAAACUUAA